rnacentral:rRNA from 1 species
CGAACGGGUGAGUAACACGUGAAGAACCUGCCCUUCAGUGGGGGACAACAGUUGGAAACGACUGCUAAUACCGCAUAAGACCACAGUACCGCAUGGUACAGUGAUCAAAGGAUUUAUUCGCUGAGGAUGGCUUCGCGUCCGAUUAGGUAGUUGGUGAGGUAACGGCCCACCAAGCCUACGAUCGGUAGCCGGACUGAGAGGUUGAUCGGCCACAUUGGGACUGAGACACGGCCCAGACUCCUACGGGAGGCAGCAUG